UGGGGAACAGCCAUAGCUCAGUGGCAGAGCAUCUGCCUUGCAUACAGAAGGUCCCGGGUUCAAUCCCUGGCAUCCCUAG